rnacentral:ncRNA from 1 species
AAGAGACUUGGUCCCAACCUUACCGUUAGUUUUUGCUAGGCAUAUACAUGCAAGUAUCCGCGAUCCAGUGAAGUAAGCCCUGAAAACCCCUAACACGGGUAAAUAGGAGCGGGCAUCAGGCACACCACCCCGUAGCCCAAGACGUCUUGCAAUUGCCACACCCCCACGGGUCAUCAGCAGUAGUUAACAUUAAGCAAUGAGUGCAAACUUGACUUAGCCAUAGCAAAUUCAGGGCUGGUAAAUCCUGUGCCAGCCACCGCGGUCAUACAGGAAGCCCAAAUUAACGUUACAACGGCGUAAAGUGUGGUCACAUGUUAUCCAAGUAGCUAAGAUUAAAAGGCAACUGAGCUGUCAUAAGCUAAAGAUGCCCAUAAGGCCUCUCCCAUCAAAGAAAAUCUUAGAACAACGAUCAAUUGAAAUCCACGAAAGCCAGGACCCAAACUGGGAUUAGAUACCCCACUAUGCCCGGCCCUAAAUCUUGAUGCUCCCCCCCCCACCCGAGCAUCCGCCCGAGAACUACGAGCCUAGCGCUUGAAACUCUAAGGACCUGGCGGUGCCCCAAACCCACCUAGAGGAGCCUGUUCUGUAAUCGAUGAUCCACGAUAUACCUGACCAUUUCUUGCCAAAACAGCCUACAUACCGCCGUCGCCAGUUCACCUACCCUGAAAGCCCAACAGUGAGCGCAAUAGCCCCACCACGCUAAUAAGACAGGUCAAGGUAUAGCCUAUGGAAUGGUAGCAAUGGGCUACAUUUUCUAGAAUAGAACAUAACGGCAAAAGGACAUGAAACUGUCCCUGGAAGGCGGAUUUAGCAGUAAAGUGGGACAAUCGAGCCCUCUUUAAGCCGGCUCUGGAGCACGUACAUACCGCCCGUCACCCUCCUCGCAGGCGCCCAACCCCCCCCCCAUAACUAAUACAUUUUUUCAGCCAAAGAUGAGGUAAGUCGUAACAAGGUAAGUGUACCGGAAGGUGCACUUAGACUACC